rnacentral:rRNA from 1 species
UACGGAGGGUGCAAGCGUUAAUCGGAAUUACUGGGCGUAAAGCGUGCGCAGGCGGUUUGUUAAGUCUGUUGUGAAAUCCCCGAGCUCAACUUGGGAAUUGCAAUGGAUACUGGCAGGCUGGAGUAUGGUAGAGGAAGGUGGAAUUCCCGAUGUAGCAGUGAAAUGCGUAGAGAUCGGGAGGAACACCAGUGGCGAAGGCGGCAUCCUGGACCAAUAUUGACGCUGAGGAGCGAAAGCCAGGGGAGCAAACGGG